CAAACGUAGUUGUCUCCGGACCAUACGAUGACUUCGCUAGUCUGAUUCACAUGUAUUAUUGUGCGCUUCGUUAACAAAUUGGUUUAGUUCAAUUUCGGAAAUCGGUUUUAACGGUUGUGUAACGGUAAUGAUUUUUUUAUUUCGAAGGUCUGCUUAACCUUCCGCAUGAACUUCUAUUAUUAUGAAUAUAAGCAUGAUUUCGGUCAGAGUGCCUUAGUUCAAAGUUGAAGAUUUACCAAUAUUUGGUGAAAUUUUACAAAAUGUCACAAUACUAGUGGGUUAAGAGGCGAUAAUCUGUAGACAUGCAAACUUCACCAUGUGGAUCCGAAGCGACAUCGAACGUAUUCUGCGAAAAAAAUCUAACUGGCCAACUGGUUAAAACUUCCUGAACAUGUUGUUCUAAAAUAUCUAACGGAUACCUGUAGUGCCGUGAUUCGAAAAUGUACCAUUUACAAAGAAUUUAAAGAUAUAGCAUAAAGGUAUUAUGUAUAAACUCCAUGAAAAGAAUUUGUUUUGAAUUUAUUUCAUAUUUUUGUUAUUAUAUUAAAAUUCUUCCGUAUUAUUUCUGUUGGAAAAUCUGUCAACCACGGAUAGCUGUAAUAAUGAUUAUUCCCCUUUAUAACAAUAACGUUUUUCUGUUACGUGCUCUUUUGAACUAACAUGUAUUACAUAAAGUCUUUAAUAAACCACUGUGAACUGUCUAUACAUUUAA